rnacentral:rRNA from 1 species
GUGAGGAAUAUUGGACAAUGGGCGCAAGCCUGAUCCAGCCAUGCCGAGUGCAGGAAGACGCAUCUAUGGUGUGUAAACUGCUUUUGUACGGGAAGAAACACUCCCUCGUGAGGGAGCUUGACGGUACCGUAAGAAUAAGGAUCGGCUAACUCCGUGCCAGCAGCCGCGGUAAUACGGAGGAUCCAAGCGUUAUCCGGAAUCAUUGGGUUUAAAGGGUCCGUAGGCGGUUUAAUAAGUCAGUGGUGAAAGCCCAUCGCUCAACGAUGGAACGGCCAUUGAUACUGUUAGACUUGAAUUACAAGGAAGUAACUAGAAUAUGUAGUGUAGCGGUGAAAUGCUUAGAUAUUACAUGGAAUACCAAUUGCGAAGGCAGGUUACUACUUGUGGAUUGACGCUGAUGGACGAAAGCGUGGGGAGCGAACAGGAUUAGAAACCCUUGUAGUCC